ACGCACGCUGGCGGCGUGCUUAACACAUGCAAGUCGAACGGAAAGGCCCUGCUUUUGUGGGGUGCUCGAGUGGCGAACGGGUGAGUAACACGUGAGUAACCUGCCCUUGACUUUGGGAUAACUUCAGGAAACUGGGGCUAAUACCGGAUAGGAGCUCCUGCUGCAUGGUGGGGGUUGGAAAGUUUCGGCGGUUGGGGAUGGACUCGCGGCUUAUCAGCUUGUUGGUGGGGUAGUGGCUUACCAAGGCUUUGACGGGUAGCCGGCCUGAGAGGGUGACCGGCCACAUUGGGACUGAGAUACGGCCCACACUCCUACGGGAGGCAGCAGUGGGGAAUAUUGCACAAUGGGCGGAAGCCUGAUGCAGCAACGCCGCGUGCGGGAUGACGGCCUUCGGGUUGUAAACCGCUUUCGCCUGUGACGAAGCGUGAGUGACGGUAAUGGGUAAAGAAGCACCGGCUAACUACGUG
rnacentral:rRNA from 1 species